UCCCUGGAAUCCCUCUGGGCACCCCUAGCAGAGGAUACAGAGAAUGUGGCAAAGCUCUAGGGGCUGGGGGCUGGGGCUCUAGGCAGCAGGACCUUCCCUUGACCCAUGGGUAUCUCUGUCAAACACUCCCUGCUUUUGGGGGGAAAUCUCUUCAGCUUUAGACGCUUGUGACCCCAAAGGAAGCCAAAGACGUGACCCUUUAUUCUGAUAAAGCAGAUGAUGGGCAGUUCCUCAGCCCAUGGAAAAAAAACCCUGACCAAUUGUUUUGACCUAAGCAGCCUCCAAGCAUGCUCUUUGCAGGGGAUAAGUGCAGGUGUUCCAGGAAUGUUCCAGUGCAGCUGGAGGUGCAGAUCUUACCAAAGAGGCAUCCCUCCUUUGGGAGGAGAGAGAAGCCAGGCUGUCUCUGGUCUGUAAAGGUGCUCAUAUUUUCAAUCACUGCUGGAUUCCUCACUGAAGGAUACAGAACUCAGAUAUGCUGUGCAUGUGAUGAAGAAAACAUAGUCCAAAAUUGCAUCCUGACGUAGAGGUUAGAAAAGCUGUUCUAAUACUUGUCUUUGUUUUCCACUGUCCAAACAAGAAAAAAAAUUAAAUUUAUUUUCCUCAUGCUGGGACAGUUUUGGAAGAGAAUAUCAUUCCAGCAGAACUACACUAAAAUACAUGACUGAUAAUCUUAUCUAUGUGUGGCAAACAUCUACAAAACAUAACAUUUUAUUUAUAUUAAGGCAGUGAACUGUGCUGCUUAAUUAAUUCAGUAAAUAUUUUCUGGAAAAUUACAUGGGUCUUACGGCUGGGAGGAUGCUGUUAUUUAGAACAGGGUUAUCAGGACUGAGCCAUCCCUCACCCAAGGCUACAGCAGAGCACUUUCUGGUUUCUGGAAAAAAAUACUACUUCUUGUGUCCCUCAAAAAUACAGUAUUAUUUAAAAAUAAAUCAAAACACAAUGCAAAUUAUCCAUAACAAACCAAAACAAAAUAAAACCAAAACAACCAAACCAAAAAAAACCCAACUAACCCCCAAACCACAGCAAACCUCUGAAUGAACUGCAGCAUUACAUACUUAAUUAGACAUUACAGUUAAUCCCCAUACAUCUGGUCAAAUAAAGGAUCCCUGCUCUUUCAUGCUACACUGGUGUAAAUGUUUUAUUUUACUGAUCUUUAGUAACAAUCUGACUCUGACCAGAUGAACGAAACCACCUGAUCAUCUUGUGCCAAUUUUGCCUGUACUGUAUUGGCAUAAGCUUCUGCAUUUAUACAAAUUUUCUUGCAUGGAAAAUUCACAGUUUUUCCUUGCAUAACUCCUGCCCCCAUACACACACAGACAUAACUCACACACUUUAGAACAUUUUUUUUAAGAAGAGUUUUUUCUUGAUAGACCUCUUGUCACAAGGAGUCAAAAAGUAUGUUCAAAGGGUUGCAUUUUUCCUGUAAACCUGCUACACCUUGAGCUCCUUCAGCUGUUAGAAUAACUCACAGCUCAGAGGGUGUGCGGGGCUGCCUUGCCCAGGAGGCAGAGAUGUGGAAUCUGAACUCAGCAAGGCAAGGUGAUGGCUGGAGACCUAAAUGCAGAGAAGCUCUGCCAACACUGACUGCUCUCAUAGCUAUGAGGUGACAGGCACUGACAGCUUUCCAUUUCAUUUCUCUGCAACCAUGCCUGUCAGUGUUUCUGUGUUUGUAUUAAUGAGAAGGGUAGAGAGCAAUUUUGUGGUUUAAUGGCAGGGUGAAGUAGAGUCUGAGUUCAGCUGAUUUCCCUUUUUAGUUUCCCUUUCAGUCUUAAGUCUGACAGCCAAGGCCAUAAUUUUGGCAGUGCUCAGAAUCCAGGAUCUGUGACCUCAGCAGCAGCCAAGUGUCCCCUGUCAACCUGUUUGAUUUGAACUGAGUAAGCAAAACUGUGAGUGCUUUUGGCUUCUUUUAGAGACAGAAAAAGUACUCAACUCAAAACUUGUUUGUUGAAUUCUCUGGAAGAUCUGACUUACUCAAGUAAGAUUUUGGGAUACUUGUGAUGUCAGAAUGCAAAUUUUCUGUUGAUCAUUCAGACACUCGGUAAGCCAGAUCAAUAAUGGUCUUCUAAAUGUUUUAACACAGCUGAUUGAAAUAAAAUCACUUGAAAUUUUGGCUUCAA